GUGGGGAAUUUUGGACAAUGGGGGCAACCCUGAUCCAGCCAUGCCGCGUGCGGGAAGAAGGCCUUCGGGUUGUAAACCGCUUUUGUCAGGGAAGAAAUCCUUUGGGUUAAUACCUCGGAGGGAUGACGGUACCUGAAGAAUAAGCACCGGCUAACUACGUGCCAGCAGCCGCGGUAAUACGUAGGGUGCGAGCGUUAAUCGGAAUUACUGGGCGUAAAGCGUGCGCAGGCGGUUUUGUAAGAUCGAUGUGAAAUCCCCGGGCUCAACCUGGGAAGUGCAUUCGUGACUGCAAGGCUAGAGUGUGUCAGAGGGAGGUGGAAUUCCGCGUGUAGCAGUGAAAUGCGUAGAUAUCGGGAGGAACACCAGUGGCGAAGGCGGCUUCCUGGCACAAUACUGACGCUCAUGUGCGAAAGCUAGGGCAGCGAACGGGAUUAGAUACCCUUGUAGCC
rnacentral:rRNA from 1 species